ensembl:lncRNA
AUGAGCCCCAGAGGGGAGCACGUGCUCAUGAGAAGGGCUCUGAUUUUCUCCUUGUGCCAUGAGGCAGGAGGGACGGCCCUGUCUUGUUGGGGCCACGAUACUCCAGGCAGACCCGUCAGGGCAUCACAGAAAGCCAGCCCUUCCAUCCCUUCUACCAAGGGCCAGCCGCGUCUGCGGUGGCGUCUUGCCUGCCUCCUCUUCUGCCUCGCUUCCCUCCACCGGUGCGCGCCCACCCGUCCCUGGACCGAGUCCACUUGGCGGGAGCCUCCGGGCCCCUCCCGCGCGGGCCUCAUCGCGGCUCUCUCCUCAGUGUUUCUGGAGGCCAAGAACGCCCAUUCGGUCCUGAAGCGGUUCCCCCGUGCUAACGAGUUCCUGGAGGAGCUGCGCCAGGGCACCAUCGAGCGGGAGUGCAUGGAGGAGAUCUGCAGCUACGAGGAGGUCAAGGAGGUGUUUGAGGACAAGGAGAAAACGAUGGAGUUCUGGAAGGGGUACCCAAACGCCGUCUACUCCGUCCGAGACCCUGCGCAGAGCUCAGACGCCAUGUACGUGGUGGUGCCCCUUCUGGGCGUGGCCUUGCUGAUUGUCAUCGCCUUGUUCAUCAUUUGGAGGUGCCAGCUGCAGAAAGCCACCCGUCACCACCCGUCGUACGCUCAGAACCGGUACCUAGCGAGUCGCGCGGGGCACAGCCUCCCCCGGGUCAUGGUCUACCGGGGCACUGUGCACAGCCAGGGCGAGUCCUCCGGGCACCGGGAGGCAGGGAGCCACCCGCAGGUGGUGCUGGGGCCCAGUCGCGGAGGUAGGACCACGGUCCGCCUCGAGAGCACCCUCUACCUCCCCGAGCUCUCCCUCUCCAGACUGUCCAGCGCCACCCCGCCCCCGUCCUACGAGGAGGUGACUGCUCCCCAGGAGAGCAGCAGCGAGGAGGCGAGCGUCUCUUACAGUGACCCGCCCCCCAAGUACGAAGAGAUAGUGGCCGCCAACCCCGGUUCCGACAAGUAGUGGGACUCGGGUCCCAUCCAGCGGGAAAGCCUCGUUCAGGGGUCUCCUCUUUUCUUUUUAACUUUUUAAAGACUGUGCCACCACAAAACAGCCUUAGCCUCCUCGUUGCCAAAUAAUUUCCCACCCGUGGAUUUGCGGGAAGUCGGUUGUCAGAGACAGGUGGCGGGGGGUAGGGAUCACGCAUGCGCCGCGACCGCGGGCUGGGGGUGGGGGGAGCGAGGAGCCGCGAGCCAGAGAGCCCAUAGCUCUUCCAGAAGCCCCCAGGCCCCUGCCCUCCUGUCCUCCUGUCAGGGCCUGGCUUCUCUUAUGCCAAAGGAAUCCCCCUGUUGAGUUGAUCGUGGCUGGCGACCCGUUUGUCUGAAGCCUCGCCACAGAGACGAGGGAGAGAAGCCAGCCCUUCAGCGCCCUUUUCCCUGACUAGCCCUGCUGGGCUCUAGGGCCUGGCUCACUUGUGACAAGGACAAGGACCGAACAGAACCGGAAAGAGUAACAACCUGACUGAACACAAUACAACACAACGCUGUCCCCUGGGCCGCGCAUAGGGGUUCAAGAGAAAUCAGUGGCACGGAUCUGUGGCACUCCCCUCCCCCAACGCCCACCCCACGCUCCUGACCAGGUUCCGAGGAAUGUCUAGAGCCACCCGGAAGGGGCACGGGGUGUGUGAAGGAUGAGGGGCAGCGCCUGGCUGGCAGAGCUGCCUCCUGCAGGUUGUGGACCUUGGCGUCCCCCAGCCCUUGGCUCGCCGGGCACCGGUACCAGCCGAGCCAGAGCCGCCACCCGCUGGCUCAAGCCCAGGCUUAGGCCGGGGAGGACAGACUGUGGCACCCAGGGUCUUUGAAUGGUUGAGGGCAGGCUGGGGGAGAGAGCUGAAGCGUCCUCCUCCUGAGGGUGGCCCAUAGGAUGAGUAAAGCCAUGCACUUGGCCUUCUCCGAGCUGUGCUCUCUGGCUCCUGGACCUUGGAGGCUAUUCGCCUUUUUGUGAAUAGGUGUGUUGAGAUGAACCUGGUGCCCGCCUGGGGAGAUCGUCAAGGGUCCCUUUGGAGGAGUUUCUUGGUGGGGGGGAUGCGGCAGCCCAUGACCUGGGGUUGAGGGCCCAUCUGGGAUUUGCUCCGUCAUUGCCAGGUGCUGGUCCUUUUUUAGUCCCCCCCUUCUGUGGCCCCGGGAGCUGUCCGCCUCUCCAUUUCGGGGAGGCUUCGGACAGCAGUGGGGCGGAGGUGAGCACACAAAAGACACUGUCGACACUGCCUCCCCACCCCGCCGUCUUCAUCCUCCUGGCCUCAGCACCAAACCAUGUUUCCUCUGUGGUGCUUUACAAAAUGUAGCAAAUUUUUGUGGGGCCCCAAAAGAGUGCACAGCCAGGGUCUAUUGGCAACCACAGCGGUUUAAAACCCACAGAGAAGACAAGCUUCUCUCUGUCUAAACAGCUUUCCAAGGCAAGCCUCGGGCCUCGUUCUUUGACUUCCGGAGGCCCUUCCCGCCCUGGGCCCUCGGCCAGGAACGCACUUCUAGAAAUCUGUAGGUUACACGGGAGUCGGUCUCCUGCCGGUUGAACCUUUCUGCCCCUCCCCCUCGCCCUCCUCCGGAGCUCCCUGAUGCCAGAGGUGCUGACCAGGUGGCAUUCCACCUCUCCCCCUUCCUCUUCCUGCCCGCGGGCCUCUAGCAUGUCCUCGGCCCGUGCCUGUCUGGGACCUGGGAGGAUGCCCAGGAACGCCUGCUCCCUUUGGCCCCUUUGCAGCUGGCCGGAGGUGGGAGCUCUCCGGGUCAGGUGCUUCGCAGCGUUCUUCCACGUGGGGUUGCCACCGUGGGCUCUGGGACGUCUUUUGCAGCAUCUCGUAGAAAACAGACUGUACAGUUCACAAUGGUCAGAACUCCUCGUGGUGCACAUUUGGCUUUUAUGAAUGCCCUGUACAUAUCUUUUGCAACUCUGUCUUUGUACCGACGUUGAUUUGAUACAAUGCUACACCUGCAGUGGCCACAUUUUUGUUGGUUUUGGACUGUGUGUGUGUGUGUGUGUGUGUUUGUGUGUCCGUAUACACGUGUGCACGUUGCCUUUUCUCACACGCUUAUCUGAAACAAUAGCCGGUGUGUGGCUAUAUUUGUACCAGGAGGGUUCCGGUCUGAAGGGAGGAGUGAAGAAAGCCGAGCUUAGCUGUUGGAGCCCGCCAAAGUUGCUUCCUUCCACCCCCUUCCCGAAAGAUUUGGGAAGAAGACGGAGCCACUCCAUGCUGUGGGACCCCCACUGUAACGCCCUGUUGGCGCCGUGCCCCCAGCCUCCACGCCUGCUCUCUGAGCAUCAGCAGCUGAAGGCAAUCUGAGCACUCCUCAGCCUUUUUAUUUUUUUUUUUUUACUUUUAUUUUUCGGUGGAAAGGUGGGUGACUGUUGACUGUGGGAAUGGAAGGGCUAGUUAUUUAGGUAUUUUUCAUUUAAACAAAAAA